rnacentral:lncRNA from 1 species
AUAUAUAGUUCCGUUUGGUUCGGGUUAUAUAAGUAUAAAUUUUUAUUAUAUGAUUCUAAUUAGUUCAACCUAACUAUAAAACUCAACUCAAUUACAAAAAAAUUCAUUUAUAUAUAAAGCUUCAACCAUAAGAUUAAAGUCUAAUAAAUAAGUUAGAUCUCAUAAACUUAUUUUUUAUAUAUAUAUUAUUUUUAAUUUUUUUAAUUUGUUAUUCGUGAGCCAGCUAGCUCGUGUUUGAUUUAUUUAUGAAAUAAUUUUUUGACUCGGGUACUUUAAUGAGUUAGCUCGUGUUUGACUUGUUUAUGAAAUGAAUCGAACAAGGUGGUGUGGGGAGAGUUUUAUUUUUUUUUUUUUUU